UCAGUGAAGUUCUGAAUCUUGACAGUGGUGCAAAUCUCAAGAAAUUCAUCUAAAUGUUUGUAUGGGUCUUCGUUGGUGAGCCCAUAAAAAGAUGGGAGCAUUUGGAUCACACUAGACUUUAUUUCAUAUUGUACAGCUGCUACCUCAGAUAAUCGAAUGCAAGAUGGGGAAGUGUAAAUAGUGGGAGUAAAGUACUCCCUCAGGAGUUUGGGUUGUUCUUCAGCCAUCUUAAGAGGUGGGGAUGAUCCUAAUGUUUUGAUCUUAGCUCAAAUAUUCCUAAGGGUUCGUUCUAUUUCAGGGUCAAAAGGUAAUAGCUCACGUACUCUAGAACGACUCCCUUGCAUACAUUAGUACUGGAUCAGUCAAGCAUGCAAUAAAAGAAAAACACAUCAGUCCUUGAUUUGUCCUAAAAUCACUAGACAGCUCCUAACUGAUUUGAAGAGGGCACCUAAGCCUCCAAUCCGGUCUAAUGAACCGAGUUGACCAGGUAAGCUUCCAGGUAAGUGGAGGGGUCACGAUGCGUUCGCAGAGGUCCCACUUAAAA
rnacentral:lncRNA from 1 species